rnacentral:rRNA from 1 species
AUUGAACGCUGGCGGCAGGCCUAACACAUGCAAGUCGAACGAGUAGCGGACGGGUGAGUAAUGUCUGGGAAACUGCCCGAUGGAGGGGGAUAAGUACUGGAACCGGUAGCUACUACCGCAUACCAUCGGAUGUGCCCUGAUGGGAUUAGCUAGUAGGGGGGGUAAAGGCGCACCUAGGCGACGAUCCCUAGCUGGUCUGAGAGGAUGACCGGCCACACUGGAACUGAGACACGGCCCAGACUCCUACGGGAGGCAGCAGUGGGGAAUAUUGGACAAUGGGCGCAAGUCUGAUGCAGCCAUGCCGCGUGUAUGAAGAAGGCCUUCGGGUUGUAAAGUACUUUCAGCGGGGAGGCGUUACCCGCAGAAGAAGCACCGGCUAACUCCGUGCCAGCAGCCGCGGUAAUUC